rnacentral:rRNA from 1 species
GUCUACGGCCGUCCCACCUUGAACGAGCCCGAUCCCGUCUGAUCUCGAAAGCUAAGUAGGGUCGGACCCGGUUAGUCCUUGCAUGGGACACCACCUAGGACGAGCCGGUGCCGUAGGUG